rnacentral:rRNA from 1 species
CGGACGGGUGAGUAACGCGUGGAUAACCUGCCGUAUACCGGGGGAUAACACUUAGAAAUAGGUGCUAAUACCGCAUAAGCGCGCGGCUCCGCAUGGGGCAGUGUGAAAAAUUCCGGUGGUAUACGAUGGAUCCGCGUCUGAUUAGCUAGUUGGCGGGGUAACGGCCCACCAAGGCAGCGAUCAGUAGCCGGCCUGAGAGGGUGGACGGCCACAUUGGGACUGAGACACGGCCCAAACUCCUACGGGAGGCAGCAG